CGGGGCGUAGCGCAGACUGGUUAGCGCACCUGCCUUGGGCGCAGGGGGUCGGAGGUUCAAAUCCUCUCGCCCCGA
rnacentral:tRNA from 1 species